rnacentral:rRNA from 1 species
UACGUAGGUGGCAAGCGUUGUCCGGAUUUAUUGGGUUUAAAGGGUGCGUAGGCGGCCCUGUAAGUCAGUGGUGAAAUACGGCAGCUCAACUGUCGAGGUGCCAUUGAUACUGCAGGGCUUGAGUACAGACGAGGUAGGCGGAAUUGACGGUGUAGCGGUGAAAUGCUUAGAUAUCGUCAAGAACACCGAUAGCGAAGGCAGCUUACUAGGCUGUAACUGACGCUGAGGCACGAAAGUGUGGGGAUCAAACAGG